rnacentral:rRNA from 1 species
GACAAACGCUGGCGGCGUGCCUAAGACAUGCAAGUCGAACGGGUACGGACCCUUCGGGGUGGCGUGCUAGUGGCGGACGGGUGAGUAACGCGUAGGAACCUAUCGCACAGUGGGGAGUACCACGGGAAACCGGUGUUAAUACGCAUGUGGUCAGCAAUGACGAAAGACAGCAAUGCGCUGUGUGCGGGGCCGUGCGUCCGAUUAGCUCGUUGGU